rnacentral:rRNA from 1 species
AUUGAACGCUGGCGGCAGGCCUAACACCUGCAAGUCGAGCGAGCGGCGGACGGGUGAGUAAUGUAUGGGGAUCUGCCCGAUAGAGGGGGAUAACUAUUGGAAACGGUUGCUAAUACCGCAUACUAUCGGAUGUACCCAUAUGGGAUUGGCUAGUAGGUGGGGUGAAGGCUCACCUAGGCGACGAUCUCUAGCUGGUCUGAGCGGAUGAUCAGCCACACUGGGACAGAGACACGGCCAAGACUCCUAGGGGAGGAAGGAGGGGGGAAUAUUGCACAAUGGGCGAAAGCCUGAUGCAGCCAUGCCGCGUGUAUGAAGAAGGCCUUAGGGUUGUAAAGUACUUUCAGCGGUGAGGCGUUACCCGCAGAAGAAGCGCCGGCUAACUCCGUGCCAGCCGCCGCGGUAAGAC